rnacentral:rRNA from 1 species
UAACUAGGAUUAGAUACCCUAUUAUUAAAAAAUUAAAGAAAUAAUACUAAAAGAGUAAGUAAAAUUUUAUUGAAACUUAAAUAACUUGGCGGUAUUUUAGUUCAUUCAGAGGAAUCUGUUUAUUAAUUGAUAAUCCACGAAUAAAUUUACUUAAUUUAUUAUUUUGUAUAUCGUUGUUUAAAAAAUAUUUUUUAAUAAUUAAUAAUAUUUUAAAUUUUAAAUAAAAAAUUAAAUCAGAUCAAGAUGCAGAUUAUAAUUAAGAAUAUAAUGGAUUACAAUAAAUUUAUUUAUUAUGAAUUUUAAGUAGAAUAAUUUAAUUGAAAGUUGGAUUUGAAUGUAAUUUUAUUUAAAUUAAUAAGAAUGAAUUUUAUUAAUUAAAAUAUGUACAUUAUU